GGGGAUUUAGCUCAGCAGCAGAAGCACCUGCCUUUCAAGCAGGCGGUCAUGAGUUUGAUCCCCA
rfam:Cavia porcellus supercont2_151 genomic scaffold, whole genome shotgun sequence.